ensembl:lncRNA
GUCUGAUCUUGGUCCAGGGUGGGGGCACUCGGAGGGAGAGGCCAGCCCUGGGGGGCAGCCACCAAACACAACCUCCCACCUGCGUAGGGCUUCCAAGGUACUGCGGGGGCCAGGGGCAGCCACGGCGAGCGAGGACCCCCAGGGGCCGUGGGGCCCACAGGGCUGCCGGGGCCCAAGGGGGAGCGAGGAGAGAAGGGAGAGCCACAGUCCCUGGCCACCAUCUACCAGCUUGUGGGCCAGGCCUGCGAGUCCGCCAUCCAGGCACACGUGCUGAAGCUCCAUGCCUGUACCCACGAGAGCACCCGGCCCCCCAUGCCCAUCUUGGAGGCCCCCAGGGCUCUUGGCACGAGCAGCAAGGCCCGGCUCCCCGGAGAAGUGGGGCAUGGUGGCUCCCGCCCUGGGGACAGAGGACGGUCCCCCUGCUGCCUCGAGUGAGCCCGCAUGUGCCCCUGGAUCCUGGACACCCGACAUCUGACCCCCGGAGCAGCUGGAGAAGAGGGUCCGGAGGUGCAGGGAGAAGCGGCAGAGACCGGGCCUAGAAACCUUCCCUCUGUGCGUCUCCUGUUCAGAUAAACAUGCCUGCUUGUUAAGGGAGGUGGCUGCUCAUUGCCAGGGACCCCCCCAUCCACCCCUUCCCCCACGGAGUGGAGUCCCAGAUUCCCUCCCCCACACGCCUCUCAGAGAGAGGCCGCCUUUUGUCCUUGGCCGUGAGGAUCCCCCCACCAUGGUCUCCCUCACCAGUUUCUUCCUGUGAGGCCACUGAAGCCUCCAGGCCCUGGU